CCCGGCCCCGGAGGAGGAGGAAGAGGCGAGGAGGAGGAGGAGGAGGAAGGAGAGGAGGCUGCGCGCCUCCGCCUCCCCCCGAGAAGCAACUCCCGGAGGCUCGGGGAUCGCGCUGCGCCUCUGCGAUGGAGCCUGCCUUUAGUUGGGAUAUUAUAGCUGCCAGGGCUGCGCGCUGAUUGGACGAGGCGGGAGGAGGCGUUAACCCUCGAGGAGGCCAACAACAACAACAACAACCACAACAAGGAGGGCAAGAGGAGCAAGCAGAUGCUGGUCGGGAGGAGGAGGAGGAGGAAGGCGUGGAAGGGGAGCCAGCCGCUGAGCCAGGCACCUGACAGAGUUUGGGGAUUAGGAGAACAGAAACGUCUCUUUCGAUUUUGAGGGCCUGUCUGUCUAUCCCUCCCUGCGUGUUAUAUAGGGAUGCACGGAUAUAUCCGCACCUGAGCAGCGUGGACUCUGGAGACCAGGGGAAGGCAAGGGCAAAAAUCUUUCUGAACAAAUCUUCCUCCGAGUAGGUUGGCUUUAGGUCUACCCCUCUCUCUUUUUCUCUCUUACUCUGACCUAAAUGCCCUAAAGGCACCAGAUCCCACCUGAUCUUGGAAAGAGGCAGGGUUAGUACUUGGAGGGGACACCACCAGGGAGUAUCAGGGGCUUUGGGAUGUAUUUCAGAGGAAGGAACGAGCAAAAAAAAAAAAAAAAACCUAUGGGGUCACCAUAGGCCGGGCGGUGGCGCAGGCUGGUUAGCAGCCAGCUGCAACUAAUCACUCAUGAGUUCGAGGCCAGCCCGUGCCUGCGUCUGUCUCUGUUCUAUGUUAUGGCAUUGAAUGUUUGCCUUAUAUGUGUGCAAUGUGAUCCGCCCUGAGUCCCCUUUGGGGUGAGAAGGGCGGAAUAUAUAUAAAUAAAUAAUAAGUCAACAGGUGUCUUGAAGGCACACACUUACUUAUCUAUCUAUCUAUUUCUCUAUGACAGUGGUUCUCAACCUGUGGAUCCCCAGAUAUUUUGGCCUACAACUCCCAGAAAUCCAGUUUACCAGCGGUUAGGAUUUCUGGGAGUUGAAGGCCAAAAUAUCUGGGGACCCACAGGCUGCGAAGAUUAG